AGAGUUUGAUCAUGGCUCAGGAUGAACGCUAGCUACAGGCUUAACACAUGCAAGUCGAGGGGAAACGAUAUUGGAAGCUUGCUUCCGAUAGGCGUCGACCGGCGCACGGGUGAGUAACGCGUAUCCAACCUGCCCACCACUUGGGGAUAACCUUGCGAAAGUAAGACUAAUACCCAAUGAUAUCUCUAGAAGACAUCUGAAAGAGAUUAAAGAUUUAUCGGUGAUGGAUGGGGAUGCGUCUGAUUAGCUUGGUUGGCGGGGUAACGGCCCACCAAGGCGACGAUCAGUAGGGGUUCUGAGAGGAACGGUCCCCACAUUGGAACUGACGACGACGGUACCAAACUCCCGUAACGGGAGGCA
rnacentral:rRNA from 1 species